UCGGUCCCUAUCUGCCGUGGGCGCUGGAGAAUUGAGGGGGGCUGCUCCUAGUACGAGAGGACCGGAGUGGACGCAUCACUGGUGUUCGGGUUGUCAUGCCAAUGGCAUUGCCCGGUAGCUAAAUGCGGAAGAGAUAAGUGCUGAAAGCAUCUAAGCACGAAACUUGCCCCGAGAUGAGUUCUCCCUGACUCCUUGAGAGUCCUGAAGGAACGUUGAAGACGACGACGUUGAUAGGCCGGGUGUGUAAGCGCAGCGAUGCGUUGAGCUAACCGGUACUAAUGAACCGUGAGGCUUAACCUU
rnacentral:rRNA from 1 species